rnacentral:rRNA from 1 species
GGCCUACGGGAGGCAGCAGUGGGGGAUAUUGCACAAUGGGGGAAACCCUGAUGCAGCGACGCCGCGUGGGUGAAGAAGCGCCUCGGCGCGUAAAGCCCUGUCAGCAGGGAAGAAAAUGACGGUACCUGAAGAAGAAGCCCCGGCUAACUACGUGCCAGCAGCCGCGGUAAUACGUAGGGGGCAAGCGUUAUCCGGAUUUACUGGGUGUAAAGGGAGCGUAGACGGCUAUGCAAGUCUGGAGUGAAAGGCGGGGGCCCAACCCCCGGACUGCUCUGGAAACUGUAGAGCUAGAGUGCAGGAGAGGG